GCGAAGAACCUUACCUGGCCUUGACAUGCUGAGAACUUUCCAGAGAUGGAUUGGUGCCUUUGGGAAAUCAGACACAGGUGCUGCAUGGCUGUUGUCAGCUCGUGUCGUGAGAUGUUGGGUUAAGUCCCGUAACGAGCGCAACCCUUGUCCUUAGUUACCAGCACCUCGGGUGGGCACUCUAAGGAGACUGCCGGUGACAAACCGGAGGAAGGUGGGGAUGACGUCAAGUCAUCAUGGCCCUUACGGCCAGGGCUACACACGUGCUACAAUGGUCGGUACAAAGGGUUGCCAAGCCGCGAGGUGGAGCUAAUCCCAUAAAACCGAUCGUAGUCCGGAUCGCAGUCUGCAACUCGACUGC
rnacentral:rRNA from 1 species